UACGUAGGGACCAAGCGUUGUUCGGAUUUACUGGGCGUAAAGGGCGCGUAGGCGGCUUGUCAAGUCACUUGUGAAAUCUCUGGGCUUAACCCAGAACGGCCAAGUGAAACUGUCAUGCUAGAGUGCAGAAGGGGCAAUCGGAAUUCUCGGUGUAGCAGUGAAAUGCGUAGAUAUCGAGAGGAACACCAGUGGCGAAGGCGAGUCCCUGGACAACACCUGACACUGAGGCACGAAAGCCGGGGGAGCAAACAGG
rnacentral:rRNA from 1 species